AAUUUCAUUAUUUAGCCAGGAGUCAUUCAGGAGCAGGCUGUUCAAUUUCCAUGUAGUUGUGGGACACUUCUGAGCUUCAUGAGCUCUUGUAAAGUUGGUCUGGUGGUAACAAAUUUUCUCAGCAUUUGCUUGUCUGAAAAGGAGCUUAUUUCUCCUUUGCUUAUGAAGCUUAGUUUGGCUGGAUAUGAAACUCUGGCCUGGAGUUUAUUUUCACACAUUCACUCAUCACUUCCCUGCGCAGGCGAAGGGGUUCCCCUUGGCUCUUUGUCGCUUCUGGGUGGGCUGUCACCCUGCCCGGCUUUUUUCCAUUCUCCAUGGGUGGAGCUGUUUUCCUGAUCAGUUCCAAUGUGAGUACUUGGAUAUUUCAGUUGAAGGUGCUGUGUUUACUCAUCCCUCUCAUUCUUUUCUGUGAGAGCCAUGCACCAUAGCUGCUUCUAGUUGGCCUUCUUGGCCCCCUUCUGGCUGAGCCUAAUUCUGUGUAAUAGAGGUUGUACAUAGAUAUGCCCUAGAAACACAGAUUAUAGAGAAGGAUCAUACAAUAUGAUCAUACAAUAUGAUCCUUACAUAUGCACAUACACGUGUAAUAUGGCUUUGCAUGUGUCAUGCAUCAGUCAAAAUUAUUCUGUUUUUUACUUCAGGGUAUUUUGACUAUAGUGUUUCAUAUGUGUUUCUAUUUUUCUCUGUAUCACCAUUUUAGAUCAUUGAAUGGACUGCUGGGCUAGACCUGGAAAAUUCUUCUGCCAAGUGUACUAUAUGUCUAGGUUCAUGUCACUGUGUGAUAUCGGUGUCCUUGUGACAACUGUAGGGGGAUAUAAGAGCAACAGUGAAAUAAAGUCAUCUCUCACAGCUGGCAUGUAUAUUCCUAUAAAUUUAUGUGAACAGGAAAAUAGACACAAAUUGGAACCAUGGAAUUCAAAAAACGGUCUCUUAAAUGAAGUCACAGAAACUACUUGGAAAUUUAAUUUAAAAUGUUGAACUCUGUCCUCAAUUGUAUGCACCUCUGCACAACAGGUCUAUCUUGUGGAAGGGCAAGGUAUUUCUUCUCACAUUUUUUUUCCUUCUGUCUUCUAAAGAGCUUCAUGUGAAAGCAGAAGACUCAUGAGAAGACAUCUAGAGACUAGCCCUAAAGUGCUUUUCUCCACAGGAAUGUCACCCAGGCACUACAUCCAGGAGUCUCAGGUGCCACUGGGUUCCCAUCCUCAGUGACGCAGAGCUGGGAGAAGGCACGCAGCAUUCAAAUUUCCUUCAAGUCACUUGCUUAAGAGGAGAUGACAUUUGAGCAAGAUCUUAAAGAAAAUCAGAUGCCUUCACCUGACCACUGCUUGGUGAUCCCAUGGCACUUUGUACAUCUCUCCAUUAGCUCUCAUCUCACCAGCCCAUCAUUAUUGUAUGUGCUGCCUUCUGAAGCUUGCAGCUGGCUACAUCAGGUAGAAUAAAAUCAUCCUUUCAUAAAA
rnacentral:lncRNA from 1 species